rnacentral:tRNA from 1 species
GGAGGGCUGGCCGAGUGGUUGAAGGCGCUGGUCUUGAAAACCAGUAGAGGUUUACCCCUCUCCGGGGUUCGAAUCCCCGGCCCUCCGCCA